CCACGAUGGACCUCUGCUCCAAGUGCUACCGCGACCUCAACCAGCAGCAGCCGGCCGCUGCUCCCGCGCCGCCGGCCUUCCUGCCGUCCUCCUCCACCGCCGCCGCUUCCGUGGCUGGCGUCGCGGCCGUGGCCGAGCCCAAGGCUCCAGCGGCGGUCCCCGCGGGAGGCAGGCAGGCGGGCAGGUGCGCGAGCUGCCGGAAGCGCGUGGGCCUGACGGGGUUCGCGUGCCGCUGCGGCGCCACCUUCUGCGGCGUGCACCGGUACCCGGAGCGCCACGCGUGCGCCUUCGACUUCCGCGCGGCCGGCCGCGACGCCAUCGCGCGCGCCAACCCCGUCGUCAAGGGCGACAAGCUCAAGGACAAGGUCUGAGGGCCAGGAGCCUCGUUCCCUCCAUUCGAUCCCUCGCACUUUUCCUCCACGCGACGCCGGAAGGAGGAGGAGGCGG
rnacentral:lncRNA from 1 species